rnacentral:rRNA from 1 species
CCCUUCGAUGUUCUGGGCGGCCCGCGCACUACAAUGGCGUGUGCAGCGAGUGCCGAAGUAGAGUUUUCCGAGGUAUUCUUGCAAUGCUCGUUUUGAUGGGGAUAGACCCUUGCAACUGUUGGUUUUGAACGAGGAAUUCCUUGUAAGCAUGGUUUAUCAUCCGACGCUGAAUGCGUCCCUGCCCUUUGUACACACCGCCCGUCGCUCCUACCGAUGAGUCGUCCGGUGAAGUUCGUAGACCUCGUGAUCGCGGAUCACUGGGGGAAGCAAAAUGAACCUCGCGGUUUAGAGGAAGGAGAAGUCGUAACA